rnacentral:rRNA from 1 species
AUGAACGCUGGCGGCGUGCUUAACACAUGCAAGUCGAACGGGGAACAAAUUAUUGAAGCUUCGGCAGAUCUAGCUUGUUCCUAGUGGCGGACGGGUGAGUAACGCGUGGGUAACCUGCCUCGCACUGGGGGAUAACAGUCAGAAAUGGCUGCUAAUACCGCAUAAGCGCACAGUACCGCAUGGUACAGUGUGAAAAACUCCGGUGGUGUGAGAUGGACCCGCGUUGGAUUAGCUAGUUGGCAGGGCAGCGGCCUACCAAGGCGACGAUCCAUAGCCGGCCUGAGAGGGUGAACGGCCACAUUGGGACUGAGACACGGCCCAGACUCCUACGGGAGGCAGCAGUGGGGAAUAUUGCACAAUGGGGGAAACCCUGAUGCAGCGACGCCGCGUGAAGGAAGAAGUAUCUCGGUAUGUAAACUUCUAUCAGCAGGGAAGAAA